ACUGAUAAGAAUCUAAUCUGAAGAAUUUAAUGAGUCUUCCAGUUCUUGUAUUGUCCAGACAGCUCAGCUUCGGAUGUUAGUGACUUCUUGCCACAGCAGGCCAUUUAUUACAUCCCUGUUUUUUUUUCGGACAUGAAGUUCCACUACAGUAUACGUGUGACCUUGAUCCAACACAACCAGACACACACGUCUCUCCUCAGCAGACAGCAGAAAAGACGCCUACAUUGAGCUGUAAUUAGCCUUAAUUAUUAAAUGGAACUAGACUGAGACCUGUGAGACACAGAGAGAUCUGUGUCUGUCUUUAAACGGCUCAUUCAAGACAACAGAUAACCAAAACAAUAUGGCCUGCUCUGCUCCAGCAGAAUGUUUAAUUAAAUAGUGUGAACUGGCGAGACUCAGACAUUAGAUUAUUUGGAGCAGAAACCAGAGAUAAAAUGCUUGUCCUAAAACAGACUAAACAAACCUUUUUAGCCGAAGUGAAUGGCUGAUUUCUUAAUUGUAAUUGAUGGAGAAAAUGCUUGAUUUGAUUUGUGUUUGUUUUCUGCAGCCACACAUCAGAUCAGAGUUGAUGUUUGUACUCACUCUUUUACUUGUCUGACCUGAUAGAAAUUCAAAAGGAUCUGUUGCUUUGAAGAUAAGCGCUGUAGUUCGGCCAUAAACAAUGAUUGUGCUGUUU